CUUUGUAGUUCUGAAGACCGAACAGCUAAAAGAUAAUCAGGGAAUCCUUUAUCCCCUCAUGGAGAAUUUUGACGACUCCAACAAUACCUAUACGAAUCAUGCAGAGCCUAUACAUCAAGAGGACAUCGGGAUAGGAAACACAUCGAGGAUUCCUCAGAAAAACAGCCAUCAAACAACCAAAGACUCCUCCCAGGCCUAUACAAACAUAGAAGACCCAAUACACCAAGAGGAAGAGCAGGAAGAGGACGCUGAUGACAUACAGAGUAAAACAUCUGUCACA